rnacentral:rRNA from 1 species
CCUACGGGGGGCAGCAGUGAGGAAUAUUGGUCAAUGGGCGGGAGCCUGAACCAGCCAAGCCGCGUGAGGGAAGAAGGUACAGCGUAUCGUAAACCUCUUUUGUCAGGGAACAAAGGCGGGGACUAGUCCCCGGAUGAGGGUACCUGAAGAAAAAGCAUCGGCUAACUCCGUGCCAGCAGCCGCGGUAUUACGGGGGAUGCGAGCGUUAUCGGGAUUUAUUGGGUUUAAAGGGUGCGCGGGGGGCCUGUUAAGUCAGCGGGAAAAGCCCGGGGCUCAACCCCGGCGAGCCGUUGAAACUGGCGGGCUGGAGUUGGAGAGAGGUACGCGGAAUGCGCGGUGUAGCGGUGAAAUGCUUAGAUAUCGCGCAGAACCCCGAUUGCGAAGGCAGCGUACCGGCUCCACACUGACGCUGAGGCACGAAAGCGUGGGUAUCGAACAGGAUUAGAUACCCUGGUAGUC